rnacentral:rRNA from 1 species
AUGAGGCCAUUCUACACGAUGCUACUAGCCCUCGCCCUUGUGCUGCUCUGCUCAGAUGUGGCGACGAAGGCAGUGACGGCAAAUGUCGGUGGCGCCACUGCGACUGUGACCCCCAUGGACUACAAGGUGCUCCCGACCAUCCCCGGCAUAUGCAAUCCUAAGAAGUGCAUGGAGGACUGCCAGGGCGGCAUCGGCCGUAGCUCUGUGGGCGAGUGUGUUUCCGACGGAUGCCAGUGCACGUACUGCACUAUCCCGCCUCGUGGUCGUCGGAACUGA